GAUGAACGCUGGCGGCGUGCCUAAUACAUGCAAGUCGAGCGAACAGACGAGGAGCUUGCUCCUCUGACGUUAGCGGCGGACGGGUGAGUAACACGUGGAUAACCUACCUAUAAGACUGGGAUAACUUCGGGAAACCGGAGCUAAUACCGGAUAAUAUAUUGAACCGCAUGGUUCAAUAGUGAAAGACGGUUUUGCUGUCACUUAUAGAUGGAUCCGCGCCGCAUUAGCUAGUUGGUAAGGUAACGGCUUACCAAGGCGACGAUGCGUAGCCGACCUGAGAGGGGGGAGGGCCAAAGGAGAACGGAGAGAGGAGAGAGAGUCAGAGGGGAGGAAACAGCAGGGGUGCUUGCGCAAUGUGUGAAAGAUUGAACAAGAAAAGAAGCGGGAAGGACAAAGGUCUACGGAUAGGAGAACGAUGUGAAGAUAGAAAAACAAAGGUGUAAGUAAAGAGGCACGCAUGCAGGGGACCUAAUCAGAGAAACACGGCGAGCUAGGGG
rnacentral:rRNA from 1 species